GCCCUCGUCGUCUAGUGGCCUAGGAUGCAGGCCUGUCACGCCUGAGACCCGGGUUCGAAUCCCGGCGGGGGCG
rnacentral:tRNA from 1 species